rnacentral:tRNA from 1 species
GCCGGGAUGGUGAAAUCGGUAGACACAGCAGACUUAAAAUCUGCGGCCCUUGGCGUACGGGUUCGAGUCCCGUUCCCGGCACCA